UACGUAGGGACCAAGCGUUGUUCGGAUUUACUGGGCGUAAAGGGCGCGUAGGCGGCUCGACAAGUCCCGCGUGAAAGCCCCCGGCUCAACUGGGGAACUGCGCGGGAAACUGUCGGACUUGAGUUCGGGAGAGGGAAGCGGAAUUCCGGGUGUAGCGGUGAAAUGCGUAGAUAUCCGGAGGAACACCGGUGGCGAAGGCGGCUUCCUGGACCGACACUGACGCUGAGGCGCGAAAGCUAGGGGAGCAAACGGG
rnacentral:rRNA from 1 species